rnacentral:rRNA from 1 species
GUGGGGAAUCUUGCGCAAUGGGCGAAAGCCUGACGCAGCCAUGCCGCGUGGAUGAUGAAGGUCUUAGGAUUGUAAAAUCCUUUCACCGGUGAAGAUAAUGACUGUAGCCGGAGAAGAAGCCCCGGCUAACUUCGUGCCAGCAGCCGCGGUAAUACGAAGGGGGCUAGCGUUGCUCGGAUUUACUGGGCGUAAGGGGCGCGUAGGCGGACAUUUAAGUCAGGGGUGAAAUCCCGGGGCUCAACCUCGGAACUGCCUUUGAUACUGGGUGUCUUGAGUGUGAGAGAGGUGUGUGGAACUCCGAGUGUAGAGGUGAAAUUCGUAGAUAUUCGGAAGAACACCAGUGGCGAAGGCGACACACUGGCACAUUACUGACGCUGAGGCGCGAAAGCGUGGGGAGCAAACAGGAUUAGAAACCCGGGUAGUCC